UAUAUAUAUAUAUAUAUAUAUAUAUAUAUAUAUGCUGGACCUUGACGUUACCUGGAUAAGAAUGACCUCACAUUUUUUAAAGGGUGUGGAAAACAUGUUUUCUGGAUGGAUCAACAUCACAGGAGGUUUUCCAAGCUGUAAUGAAACAUUUUUUCCCCCUCCUCAGAUUGAACUAAUUCUAAACAGUAUCAUGUAAUUUUCCAUGUUAGGUAACCUUCUACACUUUCUCUCCCCAGAACCUCCUCCGGGUGAGUUCUGGUCCAGGUUAUGAAACAUCUGGCAGACUGGACCAGGAUCUAAAAGGCCCUGCAAGAAUCCACUUGUUUGCUUACAGAACACUUUCUGUGACAAAUCGUUUUAUAAGUUCUGCCCAGGAUGAAUGUUUUCAUUCAACACUUUUUUUUUGUUGUGUGCACGAUGGCUCAAUAACUAAUUAAAU